CAAGAAUCAAUAUUGUUACAACAAGUCGCUAUGGUCCCCAAAGUUUCAUACUACCAGCUAACAGUAUCCAUGUGCAGCUACCAGAUUGCUGAUUCUGUCACGUGUGCUCAAUUGAUUUAUAUUUCAACAUCCUUUCUCGAUCUGAAGUUUACUACUUUAUUCCAAGCUUGUCUUUAAGAAACAAAAUUCCGGUUUGUGUAAGAGGCUUAGUUGACAAAUUUGCAAUUUGAUCUAAAGAUGGAACAUAUUGUAUACUCAACUUCUUUUCAAGAAACUUGUCCCUGACAAAAUAUAUAUCAAACUCAAUUUGCUUUGUUCGUGCAUGAUAGACAGGAUUUGAGACUAAUGCACUUGCACUGAUAUUGUGAUGCCAUAAUAUGGGAACUCAUCCAGGAUGCAGUUUGAUUUCCUUGAGCAGUGAUUCAAUUCAAACUAUCUCGGCAGUUGCAUGUGCUAGAGCUCUGUCUUCUGAUUGAGUGUUGGACCUGGCCACAACUUAUUGAUUUUUGAAUGACCAAGCCACUAAUAUAUCUCCCAAGUAAACACAGUAUCCUGAAGUCGACCUCCAAUCAUCAGGACACGAUGCCAGUUUGCAUCAGCAAAUCCAGUGAUCUGUAUUCUGUCAUUUCUUUGAAUCUAUAAGCAUUGCUCAAUUGUUCCUUUUAGGUACCUGAAGAUCCUUUUUACUGCCUUCUAGUGUAUAUCUGAAGGUACAUGAAGACACUGGCUCAUUUUGUUCAUCGCAAAGGCUGUCAGGUCUUGUAUGUUCUAGGUCUUGUAAUCUUCCGAUUGCACUUCUAUAUAGAGAAGGAUUUACCAUCUUCUCACCCUCAUUUUUGGAGAUGUACUUGCCUGCUGUCAUAGAAAUUGCA
rnacentral:lncRNA from 1 species